rnacentral:rRNA from 1 species
GGGUGCGAUCGUACCCGCACUAAUGCACCGGAUCCCAUCAGAACUCCGAAGCUAAACGUGCUUGGGCAAGAGUAGUACUAAGAUGGGUGACCUCUUGGGAAGUCCUCGUGUUGCACCCC